CACUCAUCAACAGUUAAGGCUUUGGUGGUGCGACCUGUAAAUAUGGUCAGCUUGUUUACCCUGCGUUGAGCGAAUACUUUAAGAGGUCUGUAAAAGUACGAGUAAUGAAAAUGAAACUAUAAGACAGC
rnacentral:sRNA from 12 species